UCACCCUUGUAACUUUUCAAAUUCACCGCUUUGGAAACAUUAUGGAACAUUGCAAGGAGUCCAAUAUACUCAGAAUACCAGUCAAUGUCGCUGUUAUUCUUGUUGAAACUGAGAUGAGUUUCCAACAAAGUCAUAGCACCUAUAGAGAAGGAUACCACAUCACCUUGAUAUCUGAAAAUACUUAAAUUAGGAGCCUCAAUCUUGACUUCAAUCAACCCUGCACAUUCAAAGAUCUUCAGCAUCUUAAGACUGAGACUUGAAAUCUUAAUACUCUUCAACUUGUCACAACCAACCAAAUUCAAAUUCUCGAGGAAUGGAAAGUUAGGAAUUUGGCUACAAAGCCACUCAUCCUUCAGAGAAAGCAGGCGCAGAGUUAAAUUUUUAAUAUUCUUACAGGAGGCUACAUUGAUCUCGCAUGGUAAGCUUAAUUGAAUGCUAACUGUCUUCACAUUCAGAGUUUGGAUAGAAAGCCAUAGAACUUCCAGACAGUUACGGACCUUGAAUUCAUUGAGUUUGGUAAGACCAGAUAGAUCUAGAGUAUUAAAGCCAAGGCAGUUAACCAGACUUAGAUGUUCAAUCAAAGGACAGCCAUCAACUAGGCUCUCAAGGACUAGAUCGGCAGCAUAAACGCUUGUGAGACAUAAUUUUUUCAAAGAAGAUAACUUCACACUUCUCAGAGACUGCAGCUUACAACAACUUAAGGCUAACACUUGUAUUGAUUUUGAGCAUAAAACCUCUUGAGGCAAAUUGUAGCAGCGCUUGUUAUGAGCGUCAACUGAAGGCAUUCCUGGUCUAGUAUCAACAACACGUGCACUAGUAUGAAAUGGAAGUGCGAGUUUCAGCUCUUUGACAUCACUUUCUAAUGCAGAGAAGAUACACCGGUCUACAAAUGGUCCGAGUUCUUUUACCCGUAAUUCAUACAAGUCAAGUGUGAACUUGUCUAACCUUAUCAUCUCCCUGCGGCGGGUGCGCAGAGUUCCCUCUACAUAAUUUAAUGCCCUGCUUAACUUCUCAUCUCCAAGUUGAGCUUCAAUUUUGUUGUUGCAAGAAACCGAAGGAACUUGAUUAAAGAAAGUUUUAUCAAAUUCCAAAAUUGGGAAUGUACGCCAGGCUCGUUCCCAUGCUUGCGACAAAACAGUUGUUUGAACUACUUGUUUAAAUGAGAGGAAUGACAAAAUACAAUGCAGUAUUGGUUCCGGCAAAUUAGAUAUCCUGUCCAUGCUGCUAAGCACCUCCUCCAUAAUAACAAUAUCACCACCAGAUUCCCUGAAUCAGUAGCAACAUCUUCCUUCUAAGUAUGCUAAUUAAAUUGAGACAACUGAGUACUAAUAAUAAUAAGAAUAUUGGCUGGAUUCUAUCAAUUUAAUUCAAUGUAAUAAAGAAAAUAAAUAAUCCUAACAAAAACUCUUUUGAAUUGAACAUGUUUAAUUUCUUUUUUGUACGAGAAGAGACACUGAAACUUUCACUUUCACCGGAAAAAGAAAAAUCAGCCUAAAACAGAACUGAAUUAUUUAUAAAAGAAAAGAAAGGAAAAGAAAAGAAAAAGAGACACGUUAACACAGAACCAAUAUGGAUGAGGAUGAUAAAAUACCUAUUCAUCCGAUCGAUCAAUCGUGACAGUCCAACAGCGACAGCGACGGCAACCGAAACAGCAGAACUGUCAAGAAAGGAUUGAUCUGCUUUAACUAUGUUUUGUAUAGGCUUAAUUUUGAGGAUUCCGAAUCCAAAACAGACAAAGUCACAACAGCAAAAUUAUGUAGGCUCAGUCUGCUCCGUGUAUAUAUAUUUUGAAAAUUCCAAAUCCAAAUCGGACACGUCCUUCUGCUUCUCCUAACGCGAAUCGGACAUGCGGCUAGUCGCUACGCAACAGUAAUUAAGCUUUUUGGAGAUAAGAGUGGUUUCGUUUCCAUCCAUUUUAUGUACUUCCAUCUGUUAGUUGAAGAACUAGUUUGUUACAAAGUACGCAAAUCUAACCCUGACAACUUCGGAUGACGCAAUCUUUUGUCAUCAAAUAGGCUUUUGAGUCUUGACUCUUGACACCCCCUUCAAAAUUCCGAACUGCUUAAAUAAUCGAAGUAAUUUAUGAAUAAUGAUAAAUAUUUUAAAAAUUUUAUCCCAAAGAAAUUCAAGUAAAUAUUUAAAUAUUAUUAUUCCUUGAAAAAAAAUUUAACACUAUCUUAUUUCAUAAUUUGUAUUAUUCUUUAAAUUUUAAUUAAAGAUAUGUUCUUUAUUGAUGCGAGAUUCUGGUUACCCUCUCGACCACGAUUAGGAUCUCUGCUCAAUCAACUCGACCACGAUCAGGAUCUCUCCUCGUAUGACUUCUUUUUAAAAAAUUCAUGCGUACACAGAAAUAAGUCAGAGCACGCCGGUUGUUUUCAAAUUGCACAUGACAUAUGAAAAGAUAAUCAAUUCACAGGGGUGGAGUAAUCUGAGACUUACCCAAUUAUGUAUAUUGAAUAGACGUACGGUGGAAAUUUAUAUAACUUUUUGCAUUUUAUUUCUUAUGUUUUACAUAUACAUGAGGAACUUAAUUAUAACCCAGAUUGCUUACAUGAUUAACACAUAAUUAUUUGUAAUCUACGCAUAUUAUGCCCAAAAAAUUUCAAUUUUAAUUUUGAUGAGUAAGUAAUACACAGAAACUUGUCUGCAAAAGGUAUAUAUCAAAUAGAAAUAGACCACUCCAUUGAAAUUAGCUUUUGAAUUAUCUUGAAAAUUGAAAGGCCAUUCAUAGAUUUAGUGCUCUUUUACUUUUGCUGUAUUCAGAAUUUGUCAGCUUCUCUCAUAAAUUAUCCACAAGAUUAAUUAACACUCCUGAAAGUGUUUUCCUGAAAAUGAUCUUAACUGAAUGAAUAUGGCAAUAUGAAAAGAUGCAAUUGAAUUUCCAGUUAACAAAAAGCAUAGUAGGAUUCACUUAAUAGCCUACAAUGGUAAGAAUUAAUGGCCACAGUGAUUGAUUUCUUCGAAAGCAUAUGACAGACAUACUUCCAAAUCUUGACUGCAAAUCACAAUAGCCUAACAAGUCUAUUGCAAAUCAUGAACAAAUCCACUUUAACAAAAGGGUGUUUGAAACCUGAUCUUCCAAACAGAGAAAUAAUAAUGUCGAGCAAAGGUGCCCACCUACAAUUGUCUUAUUGUAGAAUGCACAAUGAUCCAUUUUGCUGAUUCUGGAUUUGUUUCUUUCAAUCUCUUAUUAUUCAACAUUUAAUGAUAUUCAGCUCACUAUUUUACGUAAACUUUUUUACCACAUUGUUCCACUUUUUGUUACUUUUGUGGUUUGUCGUGUCGUGUAAUUACUAUUAACUAGUCAAAGGGCCUGCCAUAGCUAGAUGCAUGCGUUGAAAUUCUGGCUGCGCAUAUGUGCUGUGAAAGCUACACGAGAUUUGUUGGGUUGCGCGCCACUGCCAUGUGAACUAAAUCACAAUGGAAAACUAGUGUGAAAAACGAUUGCCUCUGCUCUCUGUUUAAACGAAUUUACUAUAGUUAAUCAUAUGUUGUUGUCUUGUUGAUUCUAAUGUGGGUCUUUAUUUAUUAUUUAAGUUUUUGAAUCAGUCCUCUUGGCGCAGCUCAUUUGGCAGUAAAUAUGCUUUUUGUCCAUGAUAACAUUGAGUUUAAGUAAUAAUAGAGAGGUUAGUAGUUGGUGUUUAGUGGGUGCUAUUUAUUUUUUCAUCUGGUCGGUUAAACUAUUAUAUAAGUCUUUUUUUUUUAAUUUCAUGAAAAUUUUUAGUUACUAAUCAUUAAGUUAUUAAGUCAAUUUCUUUUAUCUUUUUGUUUAAUUUAAAAAUCUAAAUGAUUAAAUAUUUGAGAAUGCAGCUGCGUUAUAUAUUUGUUAGUAGAAUAAGUAUAUCAAUAAGUUAAGUUAUUAAGUCAUUUUUUUAACUGUUCUAGCUUAACCAAGGUUUUCAGAUCGAGACUUGGGAAUACAACUGCUUUAAAUACUUAUUGGGAGAGCUUUGUCGCCUUAGUAGUCAUACUCAGCUCAAAUCUGGAUUAGUCGGGGCCUAAUACAGUCUUCAUAUACUAGAUAGUUUAAUAUACCAAAAAAAAAUCUAAAUGAUAUCAUUAAAACAUAUUCUCUAAAAUAUUUCUAUAUAAUUAAUUAAUUUUCAUACUUACCUAAAUAAAAUCUAUUAAUUAGUAUUAUUACCCAUCUUCUUGUGAUAAUAUAAAGGUAGGAUAUUAUUAUUUUUAUCUUUUAUUUUCUUCAAAUUAGCACUAUUUAUCUUUAUAAUUUUUUCUGAAUAUUUUUCCAAGAAAAUAUCAUAAAUUACAAUAAAAUUGAUUAGCAUAUACUAAUGCAUAAUGUUGAGUGUUAGAAAAUACAUAUUUAUAAAGGAGAAAACCGUCAUUUUACAUUUCAAGUCUUACUAACAACCCUUACUUUUAUGUACUUAACCUUCUUGUGAUGUAAUUACGUGUGUGUUAUUUUAAUUAAGUAUUUUAUGUAUUUUAGGGGCAUUAUAGUCAUUUCACAAUAAAGGAGAGAUCAGACGGCAAAACGGACAUCACUUUUGAACUCAGGAUGGUCGAAAACCUUAGGAGGAGCAUAAAAGGAAAAAUGGCACUAUUCACAUGUACGGUACUAUUCACGUAUACGGUACUGUCUACGUUACUGUUCACGACACUGUUCACAUAGACGGAUCGAUGACGUGGCAUUGACCGAUGAUGUGGCAUUGACUGAUGAGGUGUCACGAUCCUGUUGGGCUAAAAUUCUUAUGUACUGUUGAUGGUGACGUGGCAGCAUAUCAGUGGACGAAAAAUCUCACGUACGGUGCAUGCAUCACACAGGAUUAUUUUCAACCAAACCGCGUUACUGUUCAUCCGGGUCAAACCGUGUUACUGUUCAUCCGCGUGGUCAAACCGUGGACUGUUGACUGAUGACGUGGCGCAAUCCUGAGCGUCCAAACUGUUUUUAAUCCGAUGGCCAUGAUUUACUCCAUGUAUCUAUAAAAAGGGGGCCUCCCCCCCCUAAUUUGAUAUCUCUGAAUCCAUUUUUGGGAUCCAUUUUCUGUAAUUCCUACUCCAUCUUGUAUUUUCUUUGUAUUUUAAUAAAUUCCCAUUUUGCCCCUAGUUCAAUUAUGAGUGGCUAAUUUUCUUUCAAGCUUGGGUUGAAGGUGAAGUCUCAACAUGUGUCAUGGGCUUUAUUUGGUAAAUUUAUUUUCUUUUCCCCUCUAGUUUUUGUGGAUGAUUUGACUUAUCGUCGACAAAUAAUACUGAUCUUGUCUAGAUACCGCCUUGGUUACACCGGCUCUCUAGUAUAAGGUUAUUAUUAUUUGGCACGAUAAGCCCUUAGCACCAUAUUGAUUAGAGCGUGGUUCAUGAGGUGUGGAUUCCCCCCUCAUGAUUUAAUUGGCAUUAAUACGGAUUAUUUAGCCCAUGAUGCAUGUUGAUACGGAUCCAGAUACCCAAGUACGUCAAUUUAAUAGAUUUUCUCUUCAAUUUAUUCUCUCCAUUGCAAUUCCAAUUUUAGAAUUUAUUCUCGCCAUUUUAAUUUAAGUAUUAGCAUAUUCCAAAUCAUUUCCACCAUAAAUCCAACUACCCAUUUACAAAAUUAAUUCUAUAUAUAAUUAAAAUCCACCUCCUCGUGGGAUCGACACUCGUCACCAUUAGUCUAUACUACAAUAGAUUCGUGCGCUUGCGAGUACAUUAAAAUUUGCACAACAAGUUUUUGGCGCCGUUGCCGGGGAGGUAAGUAAUUUUAAUUCAUAGAAUUAAUUUUUGUGGAUAAUUUCUUUUAUUUGUUUUCUUGUAUUUUUUUUUAUUAAAAAAAAGAAAGAAAAAAAAGUAAAUCUACAUUUAGAGGUUAGUAUUUCUUUUCUUUUUCUCUUCUUUAAAAUUCUGUAAUUUAAUUUUCAAUUUAUUUUUUCUUUGUAAUUUUUGUUUAUUUUAUUAAUUUAAUUUUUAGUUAAUUUAUUUCACGUAUUUGUUUUUGUGUAUUUUUAUAGAAAGGUUGUAAUAGCGCAAUAAGGUUAGUAUCGUAAUUUCUCCCUCUUCUUUAUUUUUAUUUGUUUUGUUCCCAUCUUUAUUUUUUGUUUUGUUUGCAUCUUUAUUUUUAUUUUUAUUUUAUUUUGCAUGCAUGGUCGUAGGUCAUUAUUACCUAAUCUUGAACCUAUAGACCUUGAAUUAGAAAAAACACUUCGCACACACAAACACGUUAAAAAUAAAAUGGAUUUGCAACCACAGGAGAGGCCAUUUAAGGACUAUUUUAGUCCCUUAGCUAAUUUGAGCACGUCAUGCAUAAGAUACCCAAAUGUAGCUGCUAGGAGUUUUGAAUUAAAACCUAGUGUGUUAAAUUGUCUCCCCACAUUUUAUGGCCUAGAAAAUGAGGAUCCAUAUAAUCAUUUGAAUGAUUUUCAUGCCAUUUGUCAAACAUUCAAAUAUGAGAAUUUUUCAGACGAUGAUGUUAAACUCAGACUAUUCCCAUUUUCUUUAAAGGAUAGAGCUCGUUCAUGGUUAAAUACGUUGCCUGCUAACAGCAUUUCAUCAUGGGAACAAAUGGUAACUAAAUUUUUGAAUAAAUAUUUCCCAGUGCAUAAAACCAAUUCUAUUCGCAGGGAAAUUUCAGAGUUUACACAAAGAGAGGACGAGCAGUUUUUCGAAACUUGGGAGCGAUUCAAUGGGCUACUCUUGAAGUGUCCACAUCAUGGGUACGAGAAAUGGCACCAAUGCCAAUACUUUUUGGAGGGAUUAUUGCCGAAUGUGCAAGAAUGGCUAAUGGCAACAAGUGGAGGAGAGCUAAUGUCAAAAAGUGCAUCAGAGAUUUGGGAAUUCUUCCAGCGACAAGCGGAUAAUUCCCAACAACGGAGUCGAUCACUCAGGAAUACUAGAAGAAUUAAGGGAGUAAAUGAGGUUCAAAUUGGCGAGUCAACUUCGGGAAUCAAAGAAGUCAAGGAGAUGGUUGAAGGUCUCGCUCGACAAAUAGCAUCGUUAUCGACUGUUAAAUCAACAGAACCACAUGACCAUGACUCAUACUCUGAUCAAGCCAAUGCCAUAGGUGUAAUGAGAAAACCAUCGAAUUACAACCCAUACUCCAACACAUAUAACCCUGGAUGGAGAGACCACCCCAAUUUUUCAUGGUCUCAAGGAUUCCAACAGAAUGGACCAGCAGCUCCAGCUCCAGCUCCACAAAUUCCUCAAGUUCCUCAAGCCUCUCAGCCCCCAUUUAGACCAUUCAAUCAGAACCAGAACUACUCUCAACCCAGAUCAUGGGAGGAUUCAUUCCAGAAUUUCAAGAAUGCUACUCACUCUACGAUUGAGCAACAGAACCGCACCAUUGAUGGACUACGAAAUGAGUUGAGAGCGGGCUUCAAUUCACAAGCCCAAUCAGUUUCAAGCCUCGAGAAGAUGGUGGGACAACUUGCUUCUUCAGUUCAGACCUUGGCAAUGACUGUUGAGAAAGGCAAGUUUCCAAGUCAACCAGUGCCUAAUCCUAAAGGAGUGCAUGAAGCAAGUACCAGUUCACCACAGCAGCAUGGAGAGGUCAAAGCAGUCAUGACCUUGCGAAAAGGAAAGGAAGUCGACAAUAAAGUGGAGAUGCCGGUGACAAAAGAAAAUCAAAUUGUACCUGUAAAUGCUGAGGACUCACCACCGGAGGAAAAAGAAGAAACCAACCCACGAGAAUACGUUCCCAAAGCUCCAUUUCCUCAGAGGUUAGUGAAAGGAAAGAAGGGAAAAUCCACAGGUGAGAUUCUCGAAAUCUUCAAACAGGUAAGUGUCAAUAUCCCUUUGCUUGAUGCUAUAAAACAAGUUCCAUCUUAUGCCAAGUUUCUUAAAGACCUUUGUACUAAAAAGAGAAAUAUGCAUGUUCAAAAGAAGGCAUUUUUAACAGAAAACGUUAGUUCUAUACUCCAACAUAAAAUUCCUUUAAAAUGCAAAGACCCAGGCUCCCCCACUAUCUCAUGUAGUAUAGGGAACCACACAAUUGAGAAUGCUUUGUUGGAUUUAGGAGCUAGUGUAAAUUUGUUGCCUUACUCUGUAUUCGUGAAACUUGGACUGGGAGAAUUACACCCAACUCCAGUGGUGUUACAGCUUGCAGAUCGGUCCACGAAAAUACCUCGUGGUAUUGUGGAGGACGUGCUUAUCCAGGUAGACAAGUUUUAUUUUCCUGUUGAUUUCAUUGUAAUUGACACUCAACCAAUACAGGAUUCAAAGAAGCACAUCCCCAUUAUUCUAGGCCGACCUUUCUUGGCGACUGCGGAUGCUCACAUUCAAUGCAGGACUGGAAAUAUGCAGUUGUCCUUCGGCAACAUGACUAUGGAGCUAAAUAUUUUCAACAUUGCCAAACAACCUCACAGUGCAGAUGAUGGAAUUGUUGAUGUGGAUUUAAUAGAAACAAUAGUUGAUAAUACUUUUAUUUCAAACCUUAGUGAUGAUCCUUUACAAACAUGUUUAACUCACUUUGGUUUGGAUUUUGAUAUUGACAGAUCGGUCGAAGAGGUCAACGCCCUACUUGACUCAGCACCAUCCAUGGACACUAAUAAAUGGAAGUCAAGAGUUGAACAACUAGCACCAUCAGAGAAGAAACUCAUUCCAUCAUCAGAAUCACCACCGAAACUCGAGCUCAAACCAUUACCCAACACUCUAGAAUAUGCAUUUUUGGGAGAAGAAAGUACUCUGCCGGUAAUCAUCUCAUCAUCCCUAAAUGACGAACAAAAAGGUAAGUUGUUGGAUGUUUUAAAAGAGCACAAAGGGGCAUUAGGAUGGACCAUAGCAGACAUAAAAGGUAUAAACCCAGUAGACUGCAUGCAUUACAUUCACCUUGAUGAAAAUGCUAAAUCUACUAGGGAAAUGCAACGUCGGUUAAAUCCUAAUAUGAAAGAAGUUGUUAGAACAGAAGUCCUUAAGCUAUUAGACGCAGGUAUCAUUUACCCAAUUUCUGAUAGUUCAUGGGUCAGUCCUGUACAAGUUGUCCCCAAAAAGUCAGGAGUCACAGUAGUUACCAAUGCUGAUAAUGAAUUGAUACCAACUAGAGUAACUACAGGAUGGCGUGUAUGCAUUGAUUAUAGAAAGUUGAAUUCUGUCACACGUAAAGACCAUUUUCCUUUACCAUUUAUCGAUCAAAUGCUUGAUAGAUUAGCAGGCCACGAAUUUUAUUGCUUUCUAGAUGGCUACUCAGGAUAUAAUCAGAUUCCCAUAGCACCAAAAGAUCAAGAGAAAACUACUUUCACUUGCCCUUUUGGCACAUUUGCAUAUAGGAGAAUGCCAUUUGGAUUAUGUAAUGCACCUGCUACAUUUCAACGAUGCAUGUUAAGCAUUUUUUCUGAUAUGGUUGAACGAUUCCUUGAAGUCUUUAUGGAUGACUUUUCUGUCUUUGGUGACUCGUUUGAUCAAUGUUUACAUCAUCUAACGCUAGUUCUGCAGAGAUGUACCGAGAAGAACUUAGUCUUGAAUUGGGAGAAGUGCAAUUUUAUGGUAAAACAAGGUAUUGUUCUCGGUCACAUCAUUUCGAGCAAAGGUAUUGAGGUUGACAAAGCCAAGGUGGAUCUCAUUUCUAAUCUUCCUCCACCUAAAACAGUCAGAGAAGUAAGAUCUUUCCUUGGGCAUGCUGGUUUCUAUAGACGUUUCAUUAAAGAUUUUAGCAAAGUUUCUAGACCCUUAUGCAAUUUACUUGCUAAGGAUGUACCUUUUAUCUUUAAUGAUUCAUGUCUUAUGGCUUUUGAAAAAUUAAAGCAGUUGUUGACAUCAUCACCCAUCAUUCAGGCCCCAAACUGGAGCUUACCAUUUGAACUCAUGUGUGAUGCAUCUGAUUAUGCAGUAGGAGCAGUAUUAGGACAAAGAGUUGAUCGAAUUCCCCACGUUAUUUACUAUGCUAGUAUGACAUUGAAUGAUGCACAGUUGAAUUAUUCAACUACUGAAAAAGAAAUGCUAGCAGUAGUGUUUGCAUUAGAGAAAUUUCGAUCUUAUCUCAUUGGUUGUAAAAUAAUUAUAUUCACAGACCAUGCUGCUCUUAAAUAUCUUCUCACAAAGAAAGAUGCAAAAGCUAGACUAAUUCGUUGGGUGUUACUUUUGCAGGAAUUUGACUUGGAAUUCAAAGAUAAGAAAGGCACAGAGAAUGUUGUAGCUGACCAUCUCUCUCGCCUCCAUUUUGAUACAAUUAUGGAACCAUUACCAUUGAAUGAGUCAUUUCCAGAUGAACAAUUAAUGAAUGUGGAAGUAUUACCUUGGUAUGCUGAUAUAGUUAAUUAUCUUGUUACAGGUAAACUUCCAGAGCAUUGGACCAAGCAAGACAAGGCUAAAUUCUUUGCGGAAAUAAAGAAUUUCUUUUGGGAUGACCCGUAUUUGUUCAAGUAUUGUGCAGACCAAAUUGUUAGACGAUGUGUCCCUGAAAAUGAAAUUCAGAAUAUUCUUUCAUUCUGCCAUGCACAAGCGUGUGGAGGCCAUUUUAGUGCUAAGAAAACAGCUACAAAAGUUUUACAAUGUGGUUUCUAUUGGCCAACUAUAUUUCGAGAUGCUUACACUUUCUGUUCUUCAUGUGAUAGGUGUCAACGAAUGGGGAGCAUUACACGAAGAAACAUGAUGCCACUAAAUCCAAUUUUAGUGGUUGAGAUUUUUGACGUAUGGGGUAUCGACUUCAUGGGACCCUUUCCCCCUUCUUUUGGCCAUCAAUACAUAUUGGUUGCUGUUGACUACGUCUCGAAAUGGGUAGAAGCAAUUCCAUGUAGGACCAAUGAUCACAAAGUGGUGAUAGGAUUUUUGAAAAGCAACAUUGUUUCACGCUUUGGAUUCCCUCGAGCGAUAAUCAGUGAUGGUGGUGCCCACUUUUGUAACAAAGCAUUCAAAGCUCUUUUGACAAAGUAUUCAAUCACACACAAAGUGGCGACCCCGUAUCAUCCGCAAACCAGUGGCCAAGUUGAGAUCUCCAAUCGAGAAAUCAAGCACAUAUUAGAAAAAACGGUGAGGCCAGACAGGAAAGAUUGGUCAUUACGACUUGAUGAUGCAUUAUGGGCAUAUAGAACGGCUUUCAAGACCCCGAUUGGGAUGUCACCCUACAGGCUAGUGUAUGGAAAAGCUUGCCACCUACCUGUGGAACUCGAGCAUCGUGCAUAUUGGGCCAUCAAGAAAUUCAACUUUGACAUGCAGCAAGCCAGCUCAGAGAGAAGAUUACAACUGGCAGAACUUGAAGAAAUUCGCAAUGAUGCAUACGAAAAUGCCAAAAUUUACAAGCAGCGGAUGAAAGUCUUCCACGACAAGCACGUUAUGAGAAAAUCUUUCACUCCAGGUCAGAAAGUACUUUUAUUCAAUUCUCGCUUGCACCUAUUCCCAGGUAAGUUACGCUCUCGAUGGUCUGGUCCCUUUAUUGUUCAUACUGUUUUUCCACAUGGGGCAAUUGAAAUUAAAGACCCAAAGAACGGUGUCACGUUUAAAGUUAAUGGUCAAAGAUUAAAGCCAUAUCUAGAGUACCAACCACAUGAAGAAGACACCGAAAUAAAUUUGAGUGACCCACCAGAUUUGAAUUAAUUUUUUUUUCUCUUUUUAUUGAUUUGAUUUUUCUUUCUUUCUUUUUAUUAUUCUUUUGCUAAUUGAAAUUAUUUUUGCAUAAGUAUGUUUGUUUAACAAUUAAGUUUUCUCUUAUCAUUUUUAAUCAUGAGUCUCAUACUUAGACCGUUCCUCCUGAACAUUCUUAAAUCACUUCAACGUGUCAAAACUCAUCUCAAAAGGCAGAUUCUAUUUUGUAAAACACAACGCAUUUGGGCUCUACAACCACCAGAGUUAGUAGCCUAUGUUGAGGGUUUAGAACGCCAACUCAGAGACAUUGAGAGAAGUGUUUACGACAUCCAGUUGGAGCUUGAGGUAAAUUCAAUAAGAGGACGAUUUUAAUUUUCUUUGUGUGUUUUAAUUUGUUUUUCUGUUUGUGUGCUUUAGUUUGUUACCCCGGUGAAGUGGCGGAUAACGGUACUCCGUGACAAUCAAGUCGGUUAACUUCAGUUUCCCAUAAUAACUGAUAUUCUGAGGCGAAGGUAUGGAUAGAAACGAGAUUUUAGCAAAGCUUCACAAGCGAUUCCCUUCACUUCCUCAGAAUGCCCUCCUUACAAUCUAUAAAGCCCGGUCUGAACGCAUGCGAUUGCUCAUGAGGAAUAACAUACCUGCAGACAUCCGUUGGUUAAUCGAGGCUAAAGUACGAUUGGCAGGUGAGUUACCUCCUAAAUUUAUUGCAUACAUGCCUGGUUGUGGUAAAGGAAAUUACGCAAGAAAACGACGAGCUCGAAGAAUUUCUGUUGCUUGUCACAAGUGUGCCAGAAUGAGUUGCGAUAGAAACCCAUGUUCUUUAGGAAUGGUGUCUGAUAACAGGGAAGAUAAGAUUCAAUUCAUUAGGGAUGGCUUGAAUAAGGAGUCAUUGGAUGAUAUCCUUCUGUCUCUUGAAACGCAUCCCAGUGGAUAUGUGCAAGGAGCGAUUCUCCGGUUAUGGCCAUUAUUCCAGAAAGAGCAUGCACGAUAUAGUCUCGGGAAUCUGACUAUAAACGACCCUGUUUGUCAGUUUAUAAGAAAACUGGAUGGGAAGCCGAUCCUCGACCCAUAGAGGGCGUUCAAGCCGUUUCUGGACGUAAAACCAGAGGAAGAUGUGAGCCACAGUCGCAACUACCUGUAAAUAUCCUUUUACUUUAUUGUUAUUUUAUUUCACUAUUGUCUUAUUUUUGCAUUAUUGUCUUUAAUAAUUUUAUUACUGUUUGCUUUUUCCUUUUUUACUGUUUUCUUUUUGACUUGCGAGCCACGUGCUUUACGCGUUAUUUGACACUGACACAUUACCUCAUACACAACCAUGACCCACUAUCACCAAGACUCUUAAAUGUGAUAUCUUUUGUCAAGCACUCACAAAUUAUUUUUUUUGAGAAGUAUCACAAUGACAGCUACUCCAAAUAGACAAUUCAAGAACAUUUGUGUGCUUUCUGGAUUUACCUAUGGCAAACAUAAAGAGUUCGUGGAGGCAGCCAUAGAUCUUGGUCGAAGCAUAGCAGCGAGAAAAUUACACUUGGUGUAUGGAGGAGGUAACCGAGGGUUAUCAAAAAUGGUCUCAGAAGCAGCUUUUAUCAGAGGAAGUCAAGUGUUAGGCAUCAUCCCAAGAGUCCUAAAACCAUUGGGCAGUUCGUCUGACUCAUCAACUGGAGAAGAGUUAGUCGUCUCAGGUAUGCAAGAAAGAAUAACUGAAAUGCUUAAUCAUGCUGAUGCUUUUAUUUUCCUUCCAGGAGAUCUUGCAACACUAGAGGCACUUAUGACACUAGCAUCUUGGGCCCAUCUGCACAUCCACCAGAAACCCAUCGGUUUGUUAAAUGUCAAUAACUUUUAUGAUGGCUUUAUCGCAUUUCUUAACCAUGCAAUAAAAAACUAUUUCAUUCCUUCUAAUGUGAAAAAACUCUUUCUUUGUGCUCACACUGCUAAUGAGCUACUUGAUAUGUUACAAGCUUAUAAACCGGAGCCAGACCCCUGGACCUUUGUGUUGGAGCGACCAAAUAAUGAUGGUAACAGUAGCCGCAGUAAGAAGUACAAAUUAGAUUUAACUCUCCGCCUGUAAAUAUUUUCUUCUGUGUUGCACCACCCAGGUGAUGUCUUCUAAACUCUACUUCUUUCCUUUAAAACAUUGAGGACAAUGUUUCGUUCUGGUUGGGGGGAGGGAAUAGUCGACAAUUGUGGAAUCUUGGUUAAGUUUUUACUGAUUUUUUGUUGUAGAAACUAACUGUUGCUAACAUUUUAUGUUGAAGAUGGCUGAAUAUGGAGUGUAGUUACUCUAGAAACGCAUCUUCAUCGUUUAAAAAAAAAAAAAAAAAAAACAUGUUUUCUUCCUCUUUCUCCUUUAUAAAUAUGUAGUUUCAAAUUUUUGAGUCGAAGAUGGCUGAAUAUGGAGUGUAGUGCCUCUAGAAACGCAUCUUCUUAGUUUAAAAAAAAAAAAAAAAAAAAAAUUCUUUUUCUAAUUAAUUUUUCUACAUCAUUUUCACAUUUCUGCAUACAUAUUUUCCUUUCAUGUUUAGAAUAGGUUGGGGGGUAGAAUGUUGUUUAAAAUAUAUAUAUAUAUAUAUUUGUGUGAUUUGUUUUAACAUUGGAUGACAUGAUUAAUUUCAAAUUUUAGUAUUUGUAUUAUCUUUGGUCUUAAGUGAUGUUACGCUAUGUUUGCUACUUUACAUGUUGAUGUCGGAGACAAAUAUGAGUUGCUUGAAGGAAUGAACAUGUCAUAAAUAAGUGCCAAGUGAGUUGUUGAGCCUAUCAUUUUCUUGGAGAGUAACCCUUUUGCCCAUUCUCUAUACAGCUUAGCAGUUUAUUAUUUUAUACACGAUCUCUAGAUUUCUUUUAAGUUAACCCUUUAAAAAAAAAAAAUAUGGUAAAAUUAAAAAAAAAGAAAAAAAAAUGUGUGUUGCUACAUUGGGAGGCCCAUCUAACUAGUAGAUAUGGAUAAUUAUUUAGAGCCCUAAAAGACGAUGGAAAGGCCAUCUUUGAUCCGUUUGAGCCUUUCUAGCCAUCCCUUUUAUUAAAUAUCCAUAGUUACCCCUUUUGAGCCUUUAAAAAAAAAAAAAAAAAAAACAAAAACAUUUUCUUUGUCAACUUAUCAUCUUGACCCACUCCGAUUUGGAGUAUUACCCAAUGUCUUUUAAGUUCCAUCACCUAUUUAUGUUUGAGAAAAUGUAAAUAAUUAUGUUGUUCAGUGAAGUUAUGCCAAAUAAAAGCAAAAAAAAAAAAAAACAAAAACAAAAGUUGUUGUUUCAAAAGAAUAAAAAUAACAAUAAUAGGUGAAAUCCACCUUGCAAGUUCCAAAAAAAAAAAAAAAAAAAAUUCUUCAUUUUUCUCAAACAUACACUUUGUUUUCCUUAUUUCCUUUCUUUGUUAGCCAUAUCCCUAGCCUACGUUACGUCCUAAUAAAAGUCCUUCUUGAUUUUCGGGAACUAUAGUUUGAAGUAGAAGCUAGUUAUAUGGGCUAAAAAGAUGUAGUGAUGCAUAAUAAUAAAAAAAAAAAAAAAAAAAAGAUAAAUAAAGUGGGUUGACUAACAUUUUAUUUGACUUGAGAUCGUAUUAUUUCUAAGCUGAGGGCAUAUUUAUUUCAUCUUGGUGAGAGCAUGUGAUAUCAUUUCUUUAUUAUUUUCUCUCUCAAUUACCAUUCAUUGGAGUGACUAUGUUUAUUGGGUUUUAAUUUCUUUGUGAGAGUGUCACUACUUCCAGUGAGAUUUUGGGGUUUGACAUGUCAUUCUUGAAAGUAGCUAUAACAAAGUCUACUGGGCUAAUUCAUGUGGAUGGUUGAUGUGGGUGUGAUGUUGCUUUAGACUGGAGAUAAUGCUUAUACUUUUAUUUGAUUGCUAUCAUUAAUCUGAUUGAAUAAACACGAGUGUUUCUAAAAAAAAAAAAAAAAAAAAAAAAUCAUUUUGAAUUUGAAUUUUGUUUUCGCUUUAUUUGCUAGGGACUAGCAAUAAGCUGGUUGGGGGGUGUGUUGAGUGUUAGAAAAUACAUAUUUAUAAAGGAGAAAACCGUCAUUUUACAUUUCAAGUCUUACUAACAACCCUUACUUUUAUGUACUUAACCUUCUUGUGAUGUAAUUACGUGUGUGUUAUUUUAAUUAAGUAUUUUAUGUAUUUUAGGGGCAUUAUAGUCAUUUCACAAUAAAGGAGAGAUCAGACGGCAAAACGGACAUCACUUUUGAACUCAGGAUGGUCGAAAACCUUAGGAGGAGCAUAAAAGGAAAAAUGGCACUAUUCACAUGUACGGUACUAUUCACGUAUACGGUACUGUCUACGUUACUGUUCACGACACUGUUCACAUAGACGGAUCGAUGACGUGGCAUUGACCGAUGAUGUGGCAUUGACUGAUGAGGUGUCACGAUCCUGUUGGGCUAAAAUUCUUAUGUACUGUUGAUGGUGACGUGGCAGCAUAUCAGUGGACGAAAAAUCUCACGUACGGUGCAUGCAUCACACAGGAUUAUUUUCAACCAAACCGCGUUACUGUUCAUCCGGGUCAAACCGUGUUACUGUUCAUCCGCGUGGUCAAACCGUGGACUGUUGACUGAUGACGUGGCGCAAUCCUGAGCGUCCAAACUGUUUUUAAUCCGAUGGCCAUGAUUUACUCCAUGUAUCUAUAAAAAGGGGGCCUCCCCCCCCUAAUUUGAUAUCUCUGAAUCCAUUUUUGGGAUCCAUUUUCUGUAAUUCCUACUCCAUCUUGUAUUUUCUUUGUAUUUUAAUAAAUUCCCAUUUUGCCCCUAGUUCAAUUAUGAGUGGCUAAUUUUCUUUCAAGCUUGGGUUGAAGGUGAAGUCUCAACAUGUGUCAUGGGCUUUAUUUGGUAAAUUUAUUUUCUUUUCCCCUCUAGUUUUUGUGGAUGAUUUGACUUAUCGUCGACAAAUAAUACUGAUCUUGUCUAGAUACCGCCUUGGUUACACCGGCUCUCUAGUAUAAGGUUAUUAUUAUUUGGCACGAUAAGCCCUUAGCACCAUAUUGAUUAGAGCGUGGUUCAUGAGGUGUGGAUUCCCCCCUCAUGAUUUAAUUGGCAUUAAUACGGAUUAUUUAGCCCAUGAUGCAUGUUGAUACGGAUCCAGAUACCCAAGUACGUCAAUUUAAUAGAUUUUCUCUUCAAUUUAUUCUCUCCAUUGCAAUUCCAAUUUUAGAAUUUAUUCUCGCCAUUUUAAUUUAAGUAUUAGCAUAUUCCAAAUCAUUUCCACCAUAAAUCCAACUACCCAUUUACAAAAUUAAUUCUAUAUAUAAUUAAAAUCCACCUCCUCGUGGGAUCGACACUCGUCACCAUUAGUCUAUACUACAAUAGAUUCGUGCGCUUGCGAGUACAUUAAAAUUUGCACAACACAUAAUAUUAAAGGAUGAUAUUCAAUUGAACAUGAUUUAUGUUAUGAUAAUAAAUUAUCCUAUUUAUAUUCUUUGAGAUACUUAUUGUUGGUUUAACAUUUAUAAUUUGUAAGAGUACAAAUGUUUUUAUCUUUUCGUUUAAUUUAAAAAAUCUGAAUGAUAUCAUUAAACAAUAUUCUCGAAAAUAUUUUUAUCUAAUUAAUUAAUUUUCAUCUUUACCUAUGUAAAAUUUACUAAUUAGUAUUAUUACUUGUUGUCAAGAGAAAACAAGAAAGCAUGCACGUGAGUUGCGUGACAUAAGCAAGAUGCUAUGAAGAUAUGAGAAUAAGAAGCAUGAUAUAAGUAAAAUGUCACGAAGAUAUGUGAGCAAGAAAGCAUGCAUGUGAGAAGCAUAAUAUAAGCAAGAUGUCAUAACAAUAUGAGAGCAAGAAGUAUGACAUAAGUAAGAUGUUAUGAUGUAGGAAGUUAUUUUUCAUAUUUAAAGAUUCUAGAAUUUUAUUAUUUUAGGAUUUUCUAUUUUUAUUAGGGUCAAUUAAGGUAUGAGAUUUAAUUAACUUAGGAAACUAUCUUUUGUUUCCAUUAUAAUUGUGAUUUAUUUCCUCUUUUUAAGUUAACUUAGGAAAGUGAGUUUACUCUAUUAUAAAUAGAAAGGUCUUAUUAUUAUUUUCAAAACUUCAAAUUCAAUUAUUCAGUAAAACUCUCCUUUUAUAAUUUCUUCUGGAAUUAUCUAUCAAAAUCUCUCUUGUAGAAUCAUUUGGAUUAGAGCGUCAUCUAAUAUCGGGUUGCGCGUUAUUAAAAAUCUCAUUGAGUCAUUUAGAUUAGAACGAGAUCUAAUCACCCUUUGAUUAGAACGUAACCUAAUUGUGUUGGCUUGGUCCAAUACUACAAUGAUAUCUAGUAUUUUUAUCCAAUCAAUCCCGCUUUCGCUACACUCGCUCCAUCAUGUUAUGAAGAUGUGAGAGCGAGAAGCAUGCAUGUGAGCCGCCUCCUGCUCCUGAGCCUUCUGCUGUUCCCGUACAGCCAUCUGCCUCUAUGCCACCUCCAACUUCAGUUCAGCCUCCUACUUUAGAUGCCAUGCAGCAGCUGAUCACUGAUGUUCAGCGGAUCUCGGAGCGCCAGCAGCUGAUUCUUGAUCGGUUGGACACUCUUUCCCGUGACCACUAGCAACUGCGUUCUGACUUUCAGAUAUUCCAGCGGCAGAGCCUUGAUCAGCAGAUGGAGCUUAUCGCUGGACAGCGCACUAUUCUCGGCUAUUUCGGCUAUGAUCCGGGGAGCACAUCUUCUCCGCCUCCGUAGUUUCUGAGCUUUGUCUUCGCACAUACAUUUUACAUUUUGGUUGCUAGCAUUUUUAUUAUUAUUUUGAUUUUGAUGCAUAUGUGUGUGAUGUUCUUGAUGAUUAGAUUAUUGAUGCUUUGUGAUUGCCUAAUUGGUUGGAUAUUGUAAAUGUGGUUUAUUUGUGGAUAUUGGAGUGUUGGUAUGUUUGUGGUUCUUGAAGUGUUCUUUUGAUGUGUUUAUGGAGUUGUUGGCUUGUUGAAAGAAGAAGUUGAUGUUCAUAUAUCUUUGGAAGUGUUCUAUCUCAAUUUGUAUAAUUGGUUUUGAUCUUUUUUAAGGGGAAACUCUGCCAAAAUUUUCGCUCGCCAAAGCCGGGCAACUUCUUUCAUGGAUUUGCGUAUUUCUUAUUUCCUCUUUUCUUUUUGAUGAUGAAGGGAGAGAUAAUUAUGGUUUUUAAUAUAGUUUUUAAAUGGGGAGAUAUUUUUUUUAAGAUGGAUUUAAAAUGGGGCGAUUUAAAGCAAAAAUCCUUUUAUUCACAUUUCUCAAUUUGGCCAUACAUUUAGGGGGAGCACAUAUUAAGGGGGAGCUAAACUUUGAUUAGAAUUUGUCAUCAUCAAAAAGGGGGAGAUUGUUAACAUAAAUAUGUUAAUAAUAUUGAUUUUGAUGAUAACAAAUUUUAAAUGAUUUUUGAUAAAAGUAUUGGAGCUAUUUCUUAAUAAACGAGAGCCUUAGUAAUCAUUACAUUCAUGCUUAAUAAAAGAUGGACUUUAAAAUUAGAAAAAGAUUCUCUGCAAAAACUGGUUUAAAAUGCAAUUCUGGUUAUAAACGGUGAACCGUUUAUUUAAACGGUUAACCGAUAACAGCCAGAGAGCUACAUAUUUCCUAAACCUCUAACCGUUUAUGAAAAACGGAAAACACAAAAGACGGGAAGGUUACUGAAACUUAACGGUGAACCGUUUAUUUUAAACGGUUAACCGAUAACAGCCAGAGAGCAACAUAUUUCCUAAACCUCUAACCGUUUAUGAAAAAAGGAAAACACAAAAGAUGGGAAGGUUACUGGAACUUAACGGUGAACCGUUUAUUUUAAACGGUUAACCGAUUAACACCAGAGAGCGACAUAAUGUCUAAAGCUCUAACCGUUUAUGAAAAACGGAAAUCACCAAGAAUGGAAAGGCUACUGGAACUUAACGGUGAACCGUUUACUUUAAACGGUUAACCGAUAAUGUCCAGAAUUGAAGGUUGUCCUCCUCUGGCACUGAUUAACGAAAACUGAUAAGGCUAAAUUGUUUUGCAGGUUACUGGAGACAAACGGCGAACCGUUUAUAUCAAACGGUUAACCGAUAAUGUCCAGAGAAGCCACUUCACGCAAGUCCUUAACCGUUUAGCAUAAACGGAUAACAAAUACUCAUCUUGCAGGUCUCUGGAAGUUAACGGCGAAAGGGCAAACCUAAACGGAAAACCGUUUAUUUGAAAUCUGGCCCAACGGUAACUUUGACCAGCCUAAACGGUUAACCGUUUAUGGUUAACGGCGAACCGUUUUCUGUCCGACAGUUUGUAACGGCUAGAUUUUCGGCUCCAAAUAUAAAUAAGCUCAUUCAAAUUCAAAGAAGAUUGAUCACAACACGACCAUUUGAGCUAAUAUUCGAGAAUACAAUCUUCAUAGAGCUUAGAACACAUUCUUGCUUCAUCUAUUCACAUAUUAAGCAUCAUUGUGUAAUCUUAUAUAUUGUGAGAGGCAAAACAAUUUGUAAUCUUUUAUUUUGAGUGAUUGUAAGUGUUGGGAUACACUUGGGUUAAGAGAUUGGGGAUAAUCUCUUGUUGUAAAGGUUCAUUGACACCUUGGAAGUCAAGUGUAAGCAUUUGAAGCCUUGGAGGCUUGCUUAGUGGAAUCCUCAAGCCCGGAAAGCUUGGAGGCGUGAACGUAGGCAAGGUUGGCCGAACCACGUAAAAAUCUCGGUGUUUGAAUCCCUCUUCCCUUAUCUUUUUAUAUUGUGAUUCUCUUAAUUGUUAUUGCUUUGAAUUUGAUUUAUAAUUGCAUUAAGAUUUUCUUUAAUAAAUUGAAUAAUUUUUUAGAAUCCCAAUUCACCCCCCCUCUUGGGUUGCAUACUUGUAUUUCAGUUCAUGUAACCAUAUAGUCACCAAAAUAAUCUGCACUACCUAAUUUUUGAAACUUGUAUCAUCAAAACACUUUUUCCAAAAAAUCGAGAGAACCUCCCAUCGGCUAAAUGAAAAACUUAAUUUGAGUUUCAUUCUGCUGUGAAGAACAAAAAGUCCAAAGAAAAACUUUAUUUGACCUUUUUGUUAUUCAAUAAAUAAAAAUGACAAACAAUGUCUUUAACUAACAAACAUAAAAGAAGCUGUCCUGGCACCGUAUUACCCGACUCCUUAUUAAUCAAUCCAAAAUAAAAAUACAAGAGCCAUAGGGGCUAGCCAGACGCAAGGCUAGAGUUCAACACUCCAUGCCAAGCUAGUGUCCAAAUCUGCAAGCCAAUCUAUCUUCUCCCAAAUGUCCUCACCGUUAAAAAUGGACCUUUUGACGUUGUUUACACCAUUAGAUGUAUACUCAACCACAACUUGCUCUAUGCACUGCCGCCAGCAUGAGAUGGGACGGGAUUUGCAGCAUUGAGCAACCCCUCCUUCAUAUACUGCCUGCUUCUUAUAAGAAAACUCAAACUGAAACAAAAGGACAAGGCUGUUAUAAGCAAAGCAGCGUUUGUUACAAGCACGCAAAACAAAGGCAUAAACGUAAAAUGGACCAACAUAAGUACCAGCAUUACAUGUGUAUCAUAAUCACAUAAUUCUCACAGUAUAAACCAAGAACUAAUUCAGACCAAUGCAAAAUCUUCAGUACCUUAAAAGAGAACCAGUUCGAGUAAAAUGAUUUGAUUGUAACAGUCCUUAAAUGAGGUGAAAUCCAGAGCAAACCAUCGAUAGUGUUUUUAAUUGCGACUCGCACACGGGUUCCAUUUAUUACAAAGUCCAGGUUGUUGUAACCAUAGAAUGGGGAAGAUCGGAUUUGCCUCAAGUCUUCUGGAAUAUCCGCAUUCUGCACAAAAGAAUUUGAAUAAUAUAUAAGAAAUAAAAAAGUAUGUAAAAUAGUAAACAGCUCGAUAUUUAAAUGUAUACAUAUAGCAUGCAAGAAGUGACAUACCUCACCCUUGUAACUUUCCAAAUUCACUGCUUUGGAAACAUUAUGGAACAUUGCAAGGAGUCCAAUAUACUCAGAAUACCAGUCAAUGUCGCUGUUAUUCUUGUUGAAACUGAGAUGAGUUUCCAACAAAGUCAUAGCACCUAUAGAGAAGGAUACCACAUCACCUUGAUAUCUGAAAAUACUUAAAUUAGGAGCCUCAAUCUUGACUUCAAUCAACCCUGCACAUUCAAAGAUCUUCAGCAUCUUAAGACUGAGACUUGAAAUCUUAAUACUCUUCAACUUGUCACAACCAACCAAAUUCAAAUUCUCGAGGAAUGAAAAGUUAGGAAUUUGGCUACAAAGCCACUCAUCCUUCAGAGAAAGCAGGCGCAGAGUUAAAAAUUUAAUAUUCUUACAGGAGGCUACAUUGAUCUCGCAUGGUAAGCUUAAUUGAAUGCUAACUGUCUUCACAUUCAGAGUUUGGAUAGAAAGCCAUAGAACUUCCAGACAGUUACGGACCUUGAAUUCAUUGAGUUUGGUAAGACCAGAUAGAUCUAGAGUAUUAAAGCCAAGGCAGUUAACCAGACUUAGAUGUUCAAUCAAAGGACAGCCAUCAACUAGGCUCUCAAGGACUAGAUCGGCAGCAUAAACGCUUGUGAGACAUAAUUUUUUCAAAGAAGAUAACUUCACACUUCUCAGAGACUGCAGCUUACAACAACUUAAGGCUAACACUUGUAUUGAUUUUGAGCAUAAAACCUCUUGAGGCAAAUUGUAGCAGCGCUUGUUAUGAGCGUCAACUGAGGGCAUUCCUGGUCUAGUAUCAACAACACGUGCACUAGUAUGAAAUGGAAGUGCGAGUUUCAGCUCUUUGACAUCACUUUCUAAUGCAGAGAAGAUACACCGGUCUACAAAUGGUCCGGGUUCUUUUACCCGUAAUUCAUACAAGUCAAGUGUGAACUUGUCUAACCUUAUCAUCUCCCUGCGGCGGGUGCGCAGAGUUCCCUCUACAUAAUUUAAUGCCCUGCUUAACUUCUCAUCUCCAAGUUGAGCUUCAAUUUUGUUGUUGCAAGAAACCGAAGGAACUUGAUUAAAGAAAGUUUUAUCAAAUUCCAAAAUUGGGAAUGUACGCCAGGCUCGUUCCCAUGCUUGCGACAAAACAGUUGUUUGAACUACUUGUUUAAAUGAGAGGAAUGACAAAAUACAAUGCAGUAUUGGUUCCGGCAAAUUAGAUAUCCUGUCCAUGCUGCUAAGCACCUCCUCCAUAAUAACAAUAUCAUCACCAGAUUCCCUGAAUCAGUAGCAACAUCUUCCUUCUAAGUAUGCUAAUUAAAUUGAGACAACUGAGUACUAAUAAUAAUAAGAAUAUUGGCUGGAUUCUAUCAAUUUAAUUCAAUGUAAUAAAGAAAAUAAAUAAUCCUAACAAAAACUCUUUUGAAUUGAACAUGCUUAAUUUCUUUUUUGUACGAGAAGAGACACUGAAACUUUCACUUUCACCGGAAAAAGAAAAAUCAGCCUAAAACAGAACUGAAUUAUUUAUAAAAGAAAAGAAAGGAAAAGAAAAGAAAAAGAGACACGUUAACACAGAACCAAUAUGGAUGAGGAUGAUAAAAUACCUAUUCAUCCGAUCGAUCAAUCGUGACAGUCCAACAGCGACAGCGACGGCAACCGAAACAGCAGAACUGUCAAGAAAGGAUUGAUCUGCUUUAACUAUGUUUUGUAUAGGCUUAAUUUUGAGGAUUCCGAAUCCAAAACAGACAAAGUCACAACAGCAAAAUUAUGUAGGCUCAGUCUGCUCCGUGUAUAUAUAUUUUGAAAAUUCCAAAUCCAAAUCGGACACGUCCUUCUGCUUCUCCUAACGCGAAUCGGACAUGCGGCUAGUCGCUACGCAACAGUAAUUAAGCUUUUUGGAGAUAAGAGUGGUUUCGUUUCCAUCCAUUUUAUGUACUUCCAUCUGUUAGUUGAAGAACUAGUUUGUUACAAAGUACGCAAAUCUAACCCUGACAACUUCGGAUGACGCAAUCUUUUGUCAUCAAAUAGGCUUUUGAGUCUCGACUCUUGACACCCCCUUUAAAUUUCCGAACUGCUUAAAUAAUCGAGGUAAUUUAUGAAUAAUGAUAAAUAUUUUAAAAAUUUUAUCCCAAAGAAAUUCAAGUAAAUAUUUAAAUAUUAUUAUUCCUUGAAAAAAAAUUUAACACUAUCUUAUUUCAUAAUUUGUAUUAUUCUUUAAAUUUUAAUUAAAGAUAUGUUCUUUAUUGAUGCGAGAUUCUGGUUACCCUCUCGACCACGAUUAGGAUCUCUGCUCAAUCAACUCGACCACGAUCAGGAUCUCUCCUCGUAUGACUUCUUCUCCAAAAAUUCAUGCGUACAAAGAAAUAAGUCAGAGCACGCCGAUUGUUUUCUCGGCCUAAACCCUCUGACGCCCAAGUCAAAAAUGAAGGUUUUGUCUUCCUGGGAACGUUAGCUACUAAUUUUAUGGCUUAUUUUUGGUAUCGAUUACUCAAUGCUCUCUUUAUCUCAGUUUCAAUGUCAAAAAUUAUAACAAUUUUACCUUCGUUGACUACCUUUUUAUAGGCUUCUCCUGAAUUCAGACCUUCCCUCCAUUCACGCCCGUUAUCCUCCCACCUCUCGAAAGUGAAUGCUCCGUUUCUGUAAUCGUGGAUGGUUGCAUGACCUUCGUGCCUUGAUUCUCGGAUUGGAGAGCACGUCUCGCCAACUCUCGUUGACCGGGUCUCCUCGCCUCAACCCUUAGCAGGAAUGGCUUUAUACUUCUAACAGAAGACCGCCCUCGCGGAUGGCGUAUUCGUGGACGAGCGGAAUAUUCCUGCUCCUGUUCCCCUGCUACUAGACUCUUACAAGAUAUACCUGUUCGUGGAACCCUACUACCAGAUGUCUGCUAAACCCAGCUGGUCUCGUUGAAGUACAUCCCCAAAUAUUCUUGAGAAAAGUACAAAAAUUUAAAGUAAUGAAGAUAAAAAUUAUAUAUUAAGAAAAAAUAAUUUAAGAUUUUAAUAUUUUAAUAUAUUUUAUAAAUACAGCACAACCGCAACAUUCUCUCUCCCAAAAUUUUUGUUGAUAAAUAAUUUUAAAUCAACAAUCCGUAAAUAAAAACUAAAGUAAAACUAAAAUGUAAUUAAAAUCUAAACAAGUUUUGCAAUAACUCGAUUAGUUUUGAAGUCAAAAUUCCAUAUUUGAAAAUACUCUGAAUAGUUAUCGAUUAUAGUUGAUUGUCAUGGUCAAGAAAAUUCUAAGAACUCAAAGGCAAUCAAAGCCGUGGCUAGCUAUGGAUACCAAACCCAUGGCUGCUUAAAAAUCGAUAAUUAACAAAAAAUUGUUAAAAAAGAGACAUUUUUAUUCUUUAGUAAGUCAACUACGGUCAAUUGUUAAAGUUAGUUAUUUUUAAAGUAAUUUGAAUUUUCAAAUAUAAAGAUAAUCAAUUCACAGGGGUGGGGUAAUCUGAGACUUACCCAAUUAUGUAUAUUGAAUAGAUCGUAUGGUCGAAAUUUAUAUAACUUUUUACAUUUUAUUUCUUAUGUUUUACAUAUACAUGAGGAACUUAAUUAUAACCCAGAUUGCUUACAUGAUUAACACAUAAUUAUUUGUAAUCUACGCAUAUUAUGCCCAAAAAAUUUCAAUUUUAAUUUUGAUGAGUAAGUAAUACACAGAAACUUGUCUGCAAAAGGUAUAUAUCAAAUAGAAAUAGACCACUCCAUUGAAAUUAGCUUUUGAAUUAUCUUGAAAAUUGAAAGGCCAUUCAUAGAUUUAGUGCUCUUUUACUUUUGCUGUAUUCAGAAUUUGUCAGCUUCUCUCAUAAAUUAUCCACAAGAUUAAUUAACACUCCUGAAAGUGUUUUCCUGAAAAUGAUCUUAACUGAAUGAAUAUGGCAAUAUGAAAAGAUGCAAUUGAAUUUCCAGUUAACAAAAAGCAUAGUAGGAUUCACUUAAUAGCCUACAAUGGUAAGAAUUAAUGGCCACAGUGAUUGAUUUCUUCGAAAGCAUAUGACAGACAUACUUCCAAAUCUUGACUGCAAAUCACAAUAGCCUAACAAGUCUAUUGCAAAUCAUGAACAAAUCCACUUUAACAAAAGGGUGUUUGAAACCUGAUCUUCCAAACAGAGAAAUAAUAAUGUCGAGCAAAGGUGCCCACCUACAAUUGUCUUAUUGUAGAAUGCACAAUGAUCCAUUUUGCUGAUUCUGGAUUUGUUUCUUUCAAUCUCUUAUUAUUCAACAUUUAAUGAUAUUCAGCUCACUAUUUUACGUAAACUUUUUUACCACAUUGUUCCACUUUUUGUUACUUUUGUGGUUUGUCGUGUCGUGUAAUUACUAUUAACUAGUCAAAGGGCCUGCCAUAGCUAGAUGCAUGCGUUGAAAUUCUGGCUGCGCAUAUGUGCUGUGAAAGCUACACGAGAUUUGUUGGGUUGCGCGCCACUGCCAUGUGAACUAAAUCACAAUGGAAAACUUGUGUGAAAAACGAUUGCCUCUGCUCUCUGUUUAAACGAAUUUACUAUAGUUAAUCAUAUGUUGUUGUCUUGUUGAUUCUAAUGUGGGUCUUUAUUUAUUAUUUAAGUUUUUGAAUCAGUCCUCUUGGCGCAGCUCAUUUGGCAGUAAAUAUGCUUUUUGUCCAUGAUAACAUUGAGUUUAAGUAAUAAUAGAGAGGUUAGUAGUUGGUGUUUAGUGGGUGCUAUUUAUUUUUUCAUCUGGUCGGUUAAACUAUUAUAUAAGUCUUUUUUUUUUAAUUUCAUGAAAAUUUUUAGUUACUAAUCAUUAAGUUAUUAAGUCAAUUUCUUUUAUCUUUUUGUUUAAUUUAAAAAUCUAAAUGAUUAAAUAUUUGAGAAUGCAGCUGCGUUAUAUAUUUGUUAGUAGAAUAAGUAUAUCAAUAAGUUAAGUUAUUAAGUCAUUUUUUUAACUGUUCUAGCUUAACCAAGGUUUUCAGAUCGAGACUUGGGAAUACAACUGCUUUAAAUACUUAUUGGGAGAGCUUUGUCGCCUUAGUAGUCAUACUCAGCUCAAAUCUGGAUUAGUCGGGGCCUAAUACAGUCUUCAUAUACUAGAUAGUUUAAUAUACCAAAAAAAAAUCUAAAUGAUAUCAUUAAAACAUAUUCUCUAAAAUAUUUCUAUAUAAUUAAUUAAUUUUCAUACUUACCUAAAUAAAAUCUAUUAAUUAGUAUUAUUACCCAUCUUCUUGUGAUAAUAUAAAGGUAGGAUAUUAUUAUUUUUAUCUUUUAUUUUCUUCAAAUUAGCACUAUUUAUCUUUAUAAUUUUUUCUGAAUAUUUUUCCAAGAAAAUAUCAUAAAUUACAAUAAAAUUGAUUAGCAUAUACUAAUGCAUAAUAUUAAAGGAUGAUAUUCAAUUGAACAUGAUUUAUGUUAUGAUAAUAAAUUAUCCUAUUUAUAUUCUUUGAGAUACUUAUUGUUGGUUUAACAUUUAUAAUUUGUAAGAGUACAAAUGUUUUUAUCUUUUCGUUUAAUUUAAAAAAUCUGAAUGAUAUCAUUAAACAAUAUUCUCGAAAAUAUUUUUAUCUAAUUAAUUAAUUUUCAUCUUUACCUAUGUAAAAUUUACUAAUUAGUAUUAUUACUUGUUGUCAAGAGAAAACAAGAAAGCAUGCACGUGAGUUGCGUGACAUAAGCAAGAUGCUAUGAAGAUAUGAGAAUAAGAAGCAUGAUAUAAGUAAAAUGUCACGAAGAUAUGUGAGCAAGAAAGCAUGCAUGUGAGAAGCAUAAUAUAAGCAAGAUGUCAUAACAAUAUGAGAGCAAGAAGUAUGACAUAAGUAAGAUGUUAUGAUGUAGGAAGUUAUUUUUCAUAUUUAAAGAUUCUAGAAUUUUAUUAUUUUAGGAUUUUCUAUUUUUAUUAGGGUCAAUUAAGGUAUGAGAUUUAAUUAACUUAGGAAACUAUCUUUUGUUUCCAUUAUAAUUGUGAUUUAUUUCCUCUUUUUAAGUUAACUUAGGAAAGUGAGUUUACUCUAUUAUAAAUAGAAAGGUCUUAUUAUUAUUUUCAAAACUUCAAAUUCAAUUAUUCAGUAAAACUCUCCUUUUAUAAUUUCUUCUGGAAUUAUCUAUCAAAAUCUCUCUUGUAGAAUCAUUUGGAUUAGAGUGUCAUUUAAUAUCGGGUUGCGCGUUAUUAAAAAUCUCAUUGAGUCAUUUAGAUUAGAACGAGAUCUAAUCACCCUUCGAUUAGAACGUAACCUAAUUGUGUUGGCUUGGUCCAUUACUACAAUUAUAUCUAGUAUUUUAAUCCAAUCAAUCCCGCUUUCGCUACACUCGCUCCAUCAUGUUAUGAAGAUGUGAGAGCGAGAAGCAUGCAUGUGAGCUGCGUGACAUGAAUAGGAUAUCAUGAAGAUAUGUGAUUGAAAGAAUGAGGACAUUACGUAAGCAUGCGGUCAUGAAGUCAAAGUCAUUGCAAUUGCAAAGGAAGAAUCCAGAACCCGCUAUUUAAACCCAAAAGAAAAAUUUAGAAGUUUUAGAAACCCAAUUUAAGAAGAAGAUAAAUAUAGAUUUAAGAUAAAACUCUAAUUAACUUGUAAAAGCUGAUUAGAACAAGAAGUUAUCAACGACUUAGGGCACCUAAAAUUAUAUUAUAAAUAGAGGGUUCUUCAUGCAUAGAAGACAAAAGCAAGAGUUAAGUCGGAAAAAAAAAGGAAGAAUUUUUUUUAAUUCUCAUAAGGGUUAGUUUGUGAGUGCUGUACCUUUUAAAAUAAUUGAUGUUAGCUGUGUUGUAUAAAUAAUCAGCUGUGAAGCGAAUCAGUUAAGUGUUUGGUAAAUUUUGUUUUUAGAAGUACUGUGAGUUUUGAAAGCAGUUAUGAACGUUGGGUAACUUUUACUGUUAAAUUGUUGAGAAAAAAAUAAAUGGCUAAAAUGUACAUAAUGCAUGAUAAAAUUUACUUAUGCAUAUAAAAAUAUGUACAUAUAAUAUUUUUAUAUGUGUAUUAUAAUAAUUUUUAUUAAAAAUAGAAUUUAUAAUAUAUUGAUUUUAUUUUUUAUUAUCUUAAAACAAUCGAUAAUUAAAUUUAUAAUAUAGUAAAACAAAUUUAAUAAUAAUUCAACCAACAAAUUGAAAUUAAUAAAUUUAUAUUGAUAAAUUAUAAUAAAAAUUUAUUAAAAUAUUGAUUUUAUUUCCAAUUUGAAUAAAGAUAAAAAUAAUUUUGGGUUUAAGUAAUAAUUUUAAGGAUAUUUAUGGAAUUAGAUUAAAGGAUAAAAUUCAUUCUCAAAAUUAGAAUCUAAAAGCUACUUUUUCCUUGCUUUUUAAAAUUAGUUGUAGGAGGGACUGAUUUUGAUGAAAGUAAUUUUGAUUUUUUUUUUACCAAAUACUAAAAUUAACUUUUAGAUUUUCAAAAUCCCUUUUAAGCUUCCUAAAAGUAAUUCCAAACGGGCCGUAAAUGGUGAAAGUUGCUCUUUUUAUUCCCAUGAACGUAGGUUAAGCAUUGAACUACGUAAAUUCUCUAUGUUUUAUUUUUUUUUAUAUCGUCUUGUUUGUGUAAUUUUUCAAUUGACCAAAAAUCGGCAUUGGCAUUAUCUAUCCCUAUAACCUGUGAUAAUAUAGUGGUAAGACUAGUAGUAAGUUAAUUUCAAUCAACUAAAGCUAUUAAGUCCUCCUUUUUUCAACUUAAUGAAAAUUUACAGUUAUUAAUGAUUAAGUUAUUAAGCAAACUUUCUUAAGUUUUUGUUUAAUCUAAAAAGUCUAAAUGAUGUUAUUAAAAUAUAUUUUCUAAAAUAUCCCCGUAUAACUAAUUAAUUUUUAUCCUUACCUAGUUUUAUUACCCAUCUCAAUAACUUGUGAUAAUAUAGUGGUGAGACUACUAUUAUUUUCUUCAAAUUUACAUUAUUUAUCUUUAUAACUUUAUAUGAAUAUUUUUUGUCUAAAAACAUCAUAAACUAGAACAAAAUUGAUUAAACAUAUAUUGUAUUCAAUUGAACAUGAAUAAUGUUAUGAUAAUAUAUUAUUUUAUUUAUAAUCUUUGAGAUAUUUAUUAUUUGUUUAACAUUUAUAAUUUACAAGGGCACACAUGUAAAAAUACUAAUUUUCAUAUUUUUUAAGUUAAAAAAAUUUAAUACUUAUUUCUAACGAUUCAUAUAAAAGAAACAUUUAGAUUUAUACAUUCAAUUUUUUUAUUGCUAUCCCCAUCCAAAUAUUAUAUAUAUAGAGAGAGAGAGAGAGUCUGUCACCUCUCAACAAAACCAAUCUUGUUCACACGGCGCAUGAUGGAGUUGUAGCUCUCUUCUCAUCAUACGUUUAAACACUGUCAAUUUUAAUUCAUUCGUACUCCUCUUUUGUUUUCAAAUGAAUGUAUAUCUUGCAAAGAGCUGUAUAUAGCAUCUCUAAUUAUGAAUAACCCCAUGCAAGCUAGCUCACAACAGAAAAUUAGAAACUUAUUAUACAAAUUACUCAUAUAAUUAACAAAAAGAAAAAUGUACUUAUUUACAGGACACUACAACAAAAUCAGUUUUUAUUCCGGAUGUCGUAAUUAAGUCCUAAUUAAAAUUUGAAACAAAAUCUUCGUUCAUAAGUAUAUAUAUAUAUAUAUAUAUAUAUAUGGUUGGCUUUUAGCAGUUAUUUAUGUCAAGAUCGCUUUAGAUCAAAAUUUUAACAAAAUAUAAGCGUUUGAAUGAGACAACUUUUACACCAUAAGAAAUAAGUCUAAAUAACAUAUGCCAGCAACACAAACUAAUUUACACCAUCCUUGUUGUCCCAAAUACGUUCCUUUCUACUUUAAAAGAUGCUAGUGCUAAAUCUGCAACUUUGCAAGAUUCAUUUUCAUAACAGCAUGAACCAAGAAGUUUAAUAAGACUCCAAAACUGUACAACAAACUUGGUGAUCACAAGCUUCCUUAAUUCUUAUUAACAAACUCAUUAACGAAUGUGACUGAACAAUAAUUUUUUAGCCCUGUGAUCACGCCAACAACUUUAAACCUUAGAAUAUGCAUCUCAUCAUAGUAUCUGCACUACCUAACUUUUGAAACUUGCAUCAGAUAGCCAUCAUUAUAUUAAGCCACCAAAAAAUUUCACAUCACCUAGUUUCUACCACCACCUAUCUUUUAUAAGAAGUUCAUGUAACCAUAUAGUCACCAAAAUAAUCUGCACUACCUAAUUUUUGAAACUUGUAUCAUCAAAACACUUUUUCCAAAAAAUCGGGAGAACCUCCCAUCGGCUAAAUGAAAAACUUAAUUUGAGUUUCAUUCUGCUCUGAAGAACAAAAAGUCCAAAGAAAAACUUUAUUUGACCUUUUUGUUAUUCAAUAAAUAAAAAUGACAAACAAUGUCUUCAACUAACAAACAUAAAAGAAGCUGUCCUGGCACCGUAUUACCCGACUCCUUAUUAAUCAAUCCAAAAUAAAAAUACAAGAGCCAUAGGGGCUAGCCAGACGCAAGGCUAGAGUUCAACACUCCAUGCCAAGCUAGUGUCCAAAUCUGCAAGCCAAUCUAUCUUCUCCCAAAUGUCCUCACCGUUAAAAAUGUACCUUUUGACGUUGUUUACACAAUUAGAUGUAUACUCAACCACAACUUCCUCUAUGCACUGCCGCCAGCAUGAGAUGGGACGGGAUUUGCAGCAUUGAGCAAUCCCUCCUUCAUAUACUGCCUGCUUCUUAUAAGAAAACUCAAACUGAAACAAAAGGACAAGGCACUUAUAAGCAAAGCAGCGUUUGUUACAAGCACGCAAAACAAAGGCAUAAACGUAAAAUGGACCAACUUAAGUACCAGCAUUACAUGUGUAUCAUAAUCACAUAAUUCUCACAGUAUAAACCAAGAACUAAUUCAGACCAAUGCAAAAUCUUCAGUACCUUAAAAGAGAACCAGUUCAAGUAAAAUGAUUUGAUUGUAACAGUCCUUAAAUGAGGUGAAAUCCAGAGCAAACCAUCGAUAGUGUUUUUAAUUGCGACUCGCACACGGGUUCCAGUUAUUACAAAGUCCAGGUUGUUGUAACCAUAGAAUGGGGAAGAUUGGAUUUGCCUCAAGUCUUCUGGAAUAUCCGCAUUCUGCACAAAAGAAUUUGAAUAAUAUAUAAGAAAUAAAAAAGUAUGUAAAAUAGUAAACAGCUCGAUAUUUAAAUGUAUACAUAUAGAAUGCAAGAAGUGACAUACCUCACCCUUGUAACUUUCCAAAUUCACCCCUUUGGAAACAUUAUGGAACAUUGCAAGGAGUCCAAUAUACUCAGAAUACCAGUCAAUGUCGCUGUUAUUCUUGUCGAAAUUGAGAUGAGUUUCCAACAAAGUCAUAGCACCUAUAGAGAAGGAUACCACAUCACCUUCAUAUCUGAAAAUACUUAAAUUAGGAGCCUCAAUCUUGACUUCAAUCAACCCUGCACAUUCAAAGAUCUUCAGCGUCUUAAGACUGAGACUUGAAAUCUUAAUACUCUUCAACUUGUCACAACCAACCAAAUUCAAAUUCUCGAGGAAUGGAAAGUUAGGAAUUUGGCUACAAAGCCACUCAUCCUUCAGAGAAAGCAGGCGCAGAGUUAAAAAUUUAAUAUUCUUACAGGAGGCUACAUUGAUCUCGCAUGGUAAGCUUAAUUGAAUGCUAACUGUCUUCACAUUCAGAGCUUGGAUAGAAAGCCAUAGAACUUCCAGACAGUUACGAACCUUGAAUUCAUUGAGUUUGGUAAGACCAGAUAGAUCUAGAGUAUUAAAGCCAAGGCAGUUAACCAGACUUAGAUGUUCAAUCAAAGGACAGCCAUCAACUAGGCUCUCAAGGACUAGAUCGGCAGCAUAAACGCUUGUGAGACAUAAUUUUUUCAAAGAAGAUAACUUCACACUUCUCAGAGACUGCAGCUUACAACAACUUAAGGCUAACACUUGUAUUGAUUUUGAGCAUAAAACCUCUUGAGGCAAAUUGUAGCAGCGCUUGUUACGAGCGUCAACUGAAGGCAUUCCUGGUCUAGUAUCAACAACACGUGCACUAGUAUGAAAUGGAAGUGCGAGUUUCAGCUCUUUGACAUCACUUUCUAAUGCAGAGAAGAUACACCGGUCUACAAAUGGUCCGAGUUCUUUUACCCGUAAUUCAUACAAGUCAAGUGUGAACUUGUCUAACCUUAUCAUCUCCCUGCGGCGGGUGCGCAGAGUUCCCUCUACAUAAUUUAAUGCCCUGCUUAACUUCUCAUCUCCAAGUUGAGCUUCAAUUUUGUUGUUGCAAGAAACCGAAGGAACUUGAUUAAAGAAAGUUUUACCAAAUUCCAAAAUUGGGAAUGUACGCCAGGCUCGUUCCCAUGCUUGCGACAAAACAGUUGUUUGAACUACUUGUUUAAAUGAGAGGAAUGACAAAAUACAAUGCAGUAUUGGUUCCGGCAAAUUAGAUAUCCUGUCCAUGCUGCUAAGCACCUCCUCCAUAAUAACAAUAUCAUCACCAGAUUCCCUGAAUCAGUAGCAACAUCUUCCUUCUAAGUAUGCUAAUUAAAUUGAGACAACUGAGUACUAAUAAUAAUAAGAAUAUUGGCUGGAUUCUAUCAAUUUAAUUCAAUGUAAUAAAGAAAAUAAAUAAUCCUAACAAAAACUCUUUUGAAUUGAACAUGUUUAAUUUCUUUUUUGUACGAGAAGAGACACUGAAACUUUCACUUUCACCGGAAAAAGAAAAAUCAGCCUAAAACAGAACUGAAUUAUUUAUAAAAGAAAAGAAAGGAAAAGAAAAGAAAAAGAGACACGUUAACACAGAACCAAUAUGGAUGAGGAUGAUAAAAUACCUAUUCAUCCGAUCGAUCAAUCGUGACAGUCCAACAGCGACAGCGACGGCAACCGAAACAGCAGAACUGUCAAGAAAGGAUUGAUCUGCUUUAACUAUGUUUUGUAUAGGCUUAAUUUUGAGGAUUCCGAAUCCAAAACAGACAAAGUCACAACAGCAAAAUUAUGUAGGCUCAGUCUGCCCCGUGUAUAUAUAUUUUGAAAAUUCCAAAUCCAAAUCGGACACGUCCUUCUGCUUCUCCUAACGCGAAUCGGACAUGCGGCUAGUCGCUACGCAACAGUAAUUAAGCUUUUUGGAGAUAAGAGUGGUUUCGUUUCCAUC
rnacentral:lncRNA from 1 species